UGGGGAAUAUUGCACAAUGGGCGCAAGCCUGAUGCAGCCAUGCCGCGUGUGUGAAGAAGGCCUUCGGGUUGUAAAGCACUUUCAGCGGGGAGGAAGGCGAUAAGGUUAAUAACCUUGUCGAUUGACGUUACCCGCAGAAGAAGCACCGGCUAACUCCGUGCCAGCAGCCGCGGUAAUACGGAGGGUGCAAGCGUUAAUCGGAAUUACUGGGCGUAAAGCGCACGCAGGCGGUCUGUCAAGUCGGAUGUGAAAUCCCCGGGCUCAACCUGGGAACUGCAUUCGAAACUGGCAGGCUAGAGUCUUGUAGAGGGGGGUAGAAUUCCAGGUGUAGCGGUGAAAUGCGUAGAGAUCUGGAGGAAUACCGGAGGCGAAGGCGGCCCCCUGGACAAAGACUGACGCUCAGGUGCGAAAGCGUGGGGAGCAAACAGG
rnacentral:rRNA from 1 species